GGGAAGGUAGCUCAGUGGUAGAGUGCUUGCCUUGCAAGCAUGAAGUCCUGGGUUCGAUUCCUCAGCACCA
rnacentral:tRNA from 1 species